rnacentral:rRNA from 1 species
CACGUAGUUAGCCGGUGCUUAUUCUUCAGGUACCGUCAUUAGUCGCAGAUAUUAGCUGCAACCGUUUCUUCCCUGACAAAAGAGCUUUACAACCCGAAGGCCUUCUUCACUCACGCGGCAUUGCUGGAUCAGGGUUGCCCCCAUUGUCCAAAAUUCCCCACUGCUGCCUCCCGUAGGAGUCUGGGCCGUGUCUCAGUCCCAGUGUGGCUGGUCGUCCUCUCAGACCAGCUACUGAUCGUCGCCUUGGUGAGCUUUUACCCCACCAACUAGCUAAUCAGAUAUCGGCCGCUCCAGGAGCAUGAGGUCUUGCGAUCCCCCACUUUCAUCCGUAGAUCGUAUGCGGUAUUAGCUAAUCUUUCGACUAGUUAUCCCCCACUCUAGGGCACGUUCCGAUAUAUUACUCACCCGUUCGCCACUCGCCAUCAGGAGCAAGCUCCUAUGCUGCCGUUCGACUUGCAUGUGUAAGGCAUGCCGCCAGCGUUCA